rnacentral:rRNA from 1 species
UACGUAGGCAGCAAGCGUUGUUCGGAGUUACUGGGCGUAAAGAGCGCACAGGCGGUCGUUCAAGUCGCGUGUGAAAGCCCCCGGCUCAACUGGGGAGGGUCAUUCGAUACUGAUCGACUUGAAGGCAGGAGAGGGAAGCGGAAUUCCCGGUGUAGUGGUGAAAUGCGUAGAUAUCGGGAGGAACACCAGUGGCGAAGGCGGCUUCCUGGCCUGUUCUUGACGCUGAGGCGCGAAAGCUAGGGGAGCAAACGGG